rnacentral:rRNA from 1 species
AAGGGCUUUAUUUAGUAUUAUGGUAGUUGGUUAUGUUAAAAGCUAACCAAGCCUUAGAUGCUUAGCAGGCGUUUUAAACGAGUGAUUCUGGCCCACAACGGGCUUGAAAUAGUGCCUGAACAUUUUAUGGCAGCAGUAAAAGAAUCUUGGGCAAUGCAUUCAAGUGUGACUCAGCAAGUCUCCGUGGAUGAUGAAGAUAUUAAAUUAUAUUGUAAAAUUCUAUCUUUUUAUAUUUAUAAUGAAAUAUAAAAAGGAAAGCACAGGCUAAAUUCGUGCCAGCAGCCGCGGUAAUACGGAUUGUGCAAGUCUUUUGACCUCGUGACUAGGUGUAAAAGGCCACAUAGGAGGUUAUAUAAGUUAUUGAGUAAAUACAGGGUAUAAACCUUGGAAUCUCAAUAAAACUUUAUAACUAGAAUAUAAAAGGGGGUUUAAGAUAUCUUCUAAGUAAAGGUGAAAUUUGUAGAAAUAGAAG